UGCGCAGGCGGAAUAUUAAGUCAGUGGUGAAAGCCUACAGCUCAACUGUAGAACUGCCAUUGAUACUGAUAUUCUUGAGUAUAGUUGUAGUGGGCGGAAUAUAUCAUGUAGCGGUGAAAUGCUUAGAUAUGAUAUAGAACACCGAUCGCGAAGGCAGCUCACUAAGCUAUAACUGACGCUCAGGCACGAAAGCGUGGGGAGCAAACAGGAUUAGAUACCCUGGUAGUCC
rnacentral:rRNA from 1 species